UUACUGAGUUUACGCUCUACAACCCUUUGUGAACAUACCUAUAACUGUUGCUUCGGCGGGUAGGGUCUCCGUGACCCUCCCGGCCUCCCGCCCCCGGGCGGGUCGGCGCCCGCCGGAGGAUAACCAAACUCUGAUUUAACGACGUUUCUUCUGAGUGGUACAAGCAAAUAAUCAAAACUUUUAACAACGGAUCUCUUGGUUCUGGCAUCGAUGAAGAACGCAGCGAAAUGCGAUAAGUAAUGUGAAUUGCAGAAUUCAGUGAAUCAUCGAAUCUUUGAACGCACAUUGCGCCCGCCAGCAUUCUGGCGGGCAUGCCUGUUCGAGCGUCAUUUCAACCCUCAAGCUCUGCUUGGUGUUGGGGCCCUACAGCUGAUGUAGGCCCUCAAAGGUAGUGGCGGACCCUCCCGGAGCCUCCUUUGCGUAGUAACUUUACGUCUCGCACUGGGAUCCGGAGGGACUCUUGCCGUAAAACCCCCAAUUUUCCAAAGGUUGACCUCGGAUCAGGUAGGAAUACCCGCUGAACUUAAGCAUAUCAAUAAGCGGAGGAAAAGAAACCAACAGGGAUUGCCUCAGUAACGGCGAGUGAAGCGGCAACAGCUCAAAUUUGAAAUCUGGCCCUAGGCCCGAGUUGUAAUUUGCAGAGGAUGCUUUUGGUGCGGUGCCUUCCAAGUUCCCUAGAACGGGACGCCAGAGAGGGUGAGAGCCCCGUACAGUUGGACACCAAGCCUUUGUAAAGCUCCUUCGACGAGUCGAGUAGUUUGGGAAUGCUGCUCAAAAUGGGAGGUAUAUUUCUUCUAAAGCUAAAUACCGGCCAGAGACCGAUAGCGCACAAGUAGAGUGAUCGAAAGAUGAAAAGCACUUUGAAAAGAGGGKUAAACAGCACGUGAAAAUUGUUAAAAGGGAAGCGCUUGUGACCAGACUUGCGUCCGGUGAAUCACCCAGCUCUCGCGGCUGGGGCACUUCGCCGGCUCAGGCCAGCAUCAGCUCGCUGUCGGGGACAAAAGCUUCAGGAACGUAGCUCUCUUCGGGGAGUGUUAUAGCCUGUUGCAUAAUACCCUUCGGCGGGCUGA
rnacentral:misc_RNA from 1 species